rnacentral:tRNA from 1 species
GGGUUUGGGAAAUCUGGUAGGGCGCAGGCCUGCUAAGCCUGUGGCUCAUUGGAGCCGCACGGGUUCAAAUCCCGUCCCCG